CUGGGAAACACACAUAUCGAGAGACUACACAAAUUAUAUAAGAAAGUUAGGUUCCUAAUGGUAUGCCACCAGGGAGGAAUCAUGGAAGGCUAUGUGUACCUAAACAAGUGCAUAGAACAAUUUAGGGAACUAAAGGAAGGUCUAUCUACCCAUUCAAAUAGUUCGUCUUCUCUGCGUGACCAACCUUCAUGUAGGCAUGGUCGAAUCUCAGGUUCUGCAGAACGGUAUCUUACUCUUAUGAUCAUAGGGUCCAAUCACUAAGGCGCAUGAUGCUCUGAGACAUAGCAAACCUAAAGAUUUAAGAGGUAAUUCAUUUAUUGAAGCGAUAGUUUGGUGUCCGGACCUGAAGGACAUUCUACAAACAUGCAUAUGUAAUUCAUUUAUUGAAGCGAUAGUUUGGUGUCAGGAACUGAAGGACAUUCUACAAACAUGCAUAUGUAAUUUUUCCGCCAAGAUGAUGUCUCUUACCAAAUUCCAUGUUGGUGUUCUCCAGGGACAAUAUUGAGUCUAAACAUGGUGCAUUUCAGCAAGACAUUGCAUGGGUUGUGCCAUCCUUUCCUUACGCCAGCUUCGGAGCAGCUGGAGAAUGUGGACUCUGCAAUGAAGUUUCCAACGGUUAUCUGUAGUGUCUGGC